GCCACGGUGGUCUAGCGGGUAGAACGCUGGCCUUGUAAUCCUGGGGUCUCGGGUUCGAUUCCCGGCGGUGCCC
rfam:Zootermopsis nevadensis contig26891, whole genome shotgun sequence.